GACCUCCCCGAAGUCCCGCAUCGGACCCAAGGACAGUCCCAGGAGACUUGGGCGCGCUCGCCCCUUUUGUGGACAGGAAAUUGAGGCAGGGGAGUGAAGGCCCCACGUCCUCAUGAGACUUAAACUGCCUUCCUCCUAGGACCAACUCAGAUAUCUACAAAUUGCAUGACAGCGGAGUGAGAAGGGCACAGACUUUGCAGUGACCGCUUCUGUGUGACUCCCAGCUUCACCACUCCUGGUUGUGUAACCUCAGACAAAUGCCUUGACCUCCCCUGGCCUCAGCUUCCUCAUCUGUCAAUCGGGGUGUUCCCAGCCUCCUCAGGCCACUGGUGAGAAAAUGGUGGCACAGAGGAUAACACGCCUGAGCUCACACAGAGGCAGAGGAGCUGAGCUGUGGACCCAGGAAGGCCAUCUCUGCAGCCUCUGCUCUUGACGACCAUGGGCUCCUCCUCUGGGCUAACCCAGCCCUUGCCAGGAUCCUACAUGGAAGGUAUUAUCAUACCAUUGAACAAAAGAGGACAUGGAGGCACGGAGGGCAGAGGGGCUCCAAGAUGGCAGAUUUAGUAACUGGGGUGAGAGGGGGCUGGGAUUAGCCUUCCCUUCACCCUUCCUGUUUGCCAAACACCUGGGCCCCAUCCUGCCCAAGGUCAGCAGCCCGGGCGGCAGGAUGUGCUUCUGCCUGGCGCUGGCCUUGGGGAGCACUUGUUUUUCCCUAAAGGAAGCAGCAGGUGUGGCCUUCUUUUUGGAACUGGCCCUGACUGGGUUGGAGCCAGGCCCAGCACCCCCUCCCCCGCCCCUGUCAAUCCUGCAUCAAGGCUAGGUCAGAUCUAGGCUUGCAUGGAGGGGCUGGAAUUUGGGAGAGGGGCUUGGAGGUCAGUCCCACUUUUGUAAGCCUCUCACCCUCUGGACUCCAUAACUCCUGCUAAUUGCACUUCUUGGAUGGGACAGUGACAUGGAAGUACCUCCCAGCUCAGUCUUGGGGAGACCUCUCCAAGGACAGUGAGGGAAGCUUGGGGGAUGCCCCUACCCUCCUUUCUGGAGCACAGCCCUGGGGUCUCUGGAGUUUACAAGGGG